ACGAGAUCACAAAUUGACAGUAACAUACAAAUAUGUUUAACACGGGGGCGCAGAUGGGAUUUUAGAGCUGGGUGGGGGUGGGAUUGUGGAAAUAACAACCCGCAGACAUAAAUUAGGGCCAGAGAGCCCAGAAACCUUCCUCACAAACAUCAGGAUGCCUGGUGUGCUUCAAAAAAUAGGAAAAUAAUAUGCACUUUCACAGGGAUGCCUCCAGUGUGAGUAGCUUAGCUAUUAUGUAGUCUACUCAAUUUCCAUGUGCUGCUGGACUAUCACUGUCUGGAAUUGCAGGCAACUGAACCACGACUCACAGCUGACAUGUGGGGAGGAUCGAAAUAUGGAAGGAAAUGGGCUCAGAAGUGGCCCAAUAUCAUCUGACAGUGGCUCCAGUCGCUUCUUGUGAUGGUGUCGGUGGCAGCAUCGGACACUUGAGGUAAGGGGGGCAUCCUACCGUCCCAUCAAUAACAGGUGAGGUGUCAUUGGAUUUGGGUCAGCUAUGAACUGAGCCACAGCUGCCCAACAGGUGCAUGUUAGCAAGGUAUUUUUUUCCCACCAAGCGCAAAAAAGUGUAAUAAACUACAUGUCUAGAGUUGUAAUCAUGUUAUUACCAUUUAUUUCAUGCGUAAUAACUCCAGAGAAAUCAGGUCAUCCAUUUGCACCAUUUAUUAGUUUUAUGUACAAAAAUAAUAUAGUUAAAUAUGGACAAAAGUACUGAGACAUACUCCUUGGUCAAAGAGACAAUCAGAGCUUGGACAACACUGCUGAGUUCAUUCUGAAUAUCAAUUCCUAUACAGCGUUUCCAAGGUCAUUCCAGUAUGACGGAGGCUCACUUAAAAAAAACAUGGCCAAUCGAUAAAGGCGGAGUUUGGUGUGCAAGAACUAGACUGACCUACUACCAACAGAGAUGGUGAGGUGAAGCCCAUCUGUCACCUUACAGAUGUUUUUUGGGGGGGAAUGAAUCUGUGGUUCUUGUGGGUCUAAUGACUACGUACCAAUACUUUUGCCCAUAUUGUCAAAACAGUCUACCAUAGGUUUGCUAGUGUGGUUGUUGUCUUUUUCAGUCACAGAAGGAUGGAUAAAGAAUCCAGCAGGUUGUUAGCUGGAGUUCAGGCAUCACAGAAGUGCGUGCCGACCACAGGUCGAACCGUUCAUCCUCUGCAGGAUUCAGCAGUACUUUUGACAUCACAGCACAUAUCAGUCCUUAGAAUAUCAACUUCUUCAUGGUAGCUGAAAAUCAAAGACAGAAAAUUCAGAGAAUGAGUGCAUCUUUGACUGUAAACAGCCAUAAUGAAAUACACCACAAACUUGUAAUGUGCAUUUUACACACCAUCUGUGUCUUUAAUUUCUAUGUCUGUAAUAAACUAGGAGCUUCCACCAUAAGAAACAGCCAACCCCCA